UACGUAGGGCGCAAGCGUUGUCCGGAAUUAUUGGGCGUAAAGAGCUCGUAGGCGGUCUGUCGCGUCGGCUGUGAAAACCCGAGGCUCAACCUCGGGCCUGCAGUCGAUACGGGCAGACUAGAGUGCUGUAGGGGAGACUGGAAUUCCUGGUGUAGCGGUGAAAUGCGCAGAUAUCAGGAGGAACACCGGUGGCGAAGGCGGGUCUCUGGGCAGUAACUGACGCUGAGGAGCGAAAGCGUGGGGGAGCAAACAGG
rnacentral:rRNA from 1 species